rnacentral:rRNA from 1 species
GACGAACGCUGGCGGCGUGCUUAACACAUGCAAGUCGAGCGGAAAGGCUCCUUCGGGAGUACUCGAGCGGCGAACGGGUGAGUAACACGUGGGUAAUCAACCCCUGACAUCGGGAUACCCCGGGGAAACCCGGAUCAAUACCGAAUAAGGUGCGGAGUCGCUGGACGCCGUACCAAAGGUAGCUUAGGCCUCCGGUCGAGGGACGACGCCCGCGGCCCAUUAGCUUGUUGGUGAGGUAGCGGCUCACCGAAGGCGACGAGUGGGUAGCUGGUCUGAGAGGACGAUC